GACGAACCGUGCGAGCGUUGUUCGGAUUCACUGGGCUUAAAGGGCGCGUAGGCGGAUUGUCAAGUCGGGGGUGAAAGCCUCCAGCUUAACUGGAGAAGUGCCUUUGAUACUGAUGAUCUCGAGGGAGGUAGGGGCAUGUGGAACUUCCGGUGGAGCGGUGAAAUGCGUAGAUAUCGGAAGGAACGCCGGUGGCGAAAGCGACGUGCUGGACCUCUUCUGACGCUGAGGCGCGAAAGCUAGGGGAGCAAACGGG
rnacentral:rRNA from 1 species